rnacentral:rRNA from 1 species
UACGUAAGGUCCGAGCGUUGUCCGGAAUUAUUGGGCGUAAAGAGCUCGUAGGCGGUCUGUCGCGUCGGCUGUGAAAUCCCGAGGCUCAACCUCGGGUCUGCAGUCGAUACGGGCAAACUAGAGUAUUGCAGGGGAGACUGGAAUUCCUGGUGUAGCGGUGAAAUGCGCAGAUAUCAGGAGGAACACCGGUGGCGAAGGCGGGUCUCUGGGCAAUAACUGACGCUGAGGAGCGAAAGCGUGGGGAGCGAACAGG